GUAGGUGGCAAGCGUUGUCCGGAAUUAUUGGGCGUAAAGCGCGCGCAGGUGGUUCUUUAAGUCUGAUGUGAAAGCCCCCGGGCUCAACCGGGGAGGGUCAUUGGAAACUGGGGAACUUGAGUGCAGGAGAGGAAAGUGGAAUUCCACGUGUAGCGGUGAAAUGCGUAGAUAUGUGGAGGAACACCAGUGGCGAAGGCGACUUUCUGGCCUGUAACUGACACUGAGGCGCGAAAGCGUGGGGAGCAAACAGGAUUAGAUACCCUGGUAGUCCACGCCGUAAACGAUGAGUGCUAAGUGUUGGGGGGUUUCCGCCCCUCAGUGCUGCAGCUAACGCAUUAAGCACUCCACCUGGGGAGUACGGUCGCAAAGACUG
rnacentral:rRNA from 1 species